GGACCGCGAUGGAGGAAGGAAUCGCGCCGCCCAGUCGCCGUCCGUGGCGAGUCGUCGCCGGCGUUGUCGCGAGAAGGAGAGAGCCCGCGUCGGAGGAGAAGAGCCGUCGCGUUCUGCCACCGCUGAGGAACCACUCGCCAUUAGAACCGUCACUGCGUGUUGUGUUCCGUCACCGCCGCCACGCCGUGUCCCCGUCGCCACCACCCGAAGGCUCUAGCGCUGCCGCUGCUACUAUAGCCGCCAUCAUCUGUUGCAUGUGCGAAAGGAGAGAGGGGCCUUGAGAACAAGGAAAGGAGUCGUGUGAGGCUUGUGCCGAGAGGCAGAGGGCUGUUCAGCCGCCACCGCUGCUGCCAUGAUCACCGGUUUCAAAAAAAAGGGGAUGCCGUCGAAGUACCUCUGAUAUGCCCCUACAGCUAUGAUUAUUGAUAAUGUUACUGCUGGUUCUAAGCCGCUGCUGCUGUGAAUUUAGAAUAAGAGGGUUUGUCGCGUUUAAAUUCUGCGGUUUCGACUAACUGAGGUAAUGGGUUUGCUUUUAAAGUUAACAGUUUUUAAUGUAAGAAUGCCCAAAAGGCUUAUUGAAUAAUUGCAAAUGAUUUAUAAGUGUUUAGUAUGACUAUUUAAUGAAGAUUGGUUGAAUUGUGGUUGUGGAUGGUGUUUAAUUUGGUGUUAUUUGUUAAACUGAAAUAUGAAUUAAGUUUUAUGAAUUGUGUUUAGAUUGAAGCUGUGAUUGUUAUUGGAAUUUUUAGUCAUGUCAAUUUCUCGGUUUGGUUGUUGAUUUGAGACUUAUUUGAUGAUAGUGGGCUUUGUUGCAAGCUGGUUUGGGAAUUAUUGUUAACUGAGAUGCUAGCUUGAUUGGAUAUUAUUGUAUUGAAUGUUAAAGUGAAAUGUUGGUUACUAAACUGAAAUAAAGUAAAUUGAUUAUUGAGAAUUAUGCUGUAUUGAUGUUUGUGGAAUCAGACUAGUGAAUUGUUGAAGAAAUGAGGAAGCCCGAAGGGGUGGUGAAGUCUAACUUUCAAGAGGAUGUUUGGUUCGAAUUUUUUGUAAAAAGCAUAUGAAAAAGUGGUUUUGUUUUGAAAAUCUGGUUUAAAUAUGUAUUUACAUUAAGAAACGAACUUUGUAUAAAAAAUCUGAUUUACUGGCUUAUUUUGAGAAAAGAUUUUGAAAUUGAACCUGGUUAGCCUUCAGAUUUAUAAAAUGAUUUGGCAUUGGAUUGGAUUGUCUGGUUUAUUAGGAAUGAUCUUUGAGAAUCGAAAAUGAUUUGUUGGGACCCUUGAAGGGUGGCAAAGCCUGGGUUUUAGGUGAAAUGUUGCCAAAAUUUUUAUAAAAUUAGGGACUUUAUUUGAAAUGCUAUUUUAAAAAAUUUGGUUUUGGAAAGUUAAAUUAUUUGAGACUUAUUUAGUUGGGAAAAGAGUUUUGUUUUCAAUUCGAUUUAUUAAGAAAAGAAAAGUAUAGUGUUUUAAACUCAAUUUUUUUGAGAAGGGAUUUUUCUUUAAGUUAUGUUUUGAGUUUGGUUUAAUAAGAAAGAAAAGAAGAAGAACGAAAAGUAAAAAAAAAAAGAGAUAAUUAAAGAAAUGUCUGCCACAGGAGAGCAGAGAACAAAGAUUAAAGGAAUAUAUUAAUUAUAGGAAUGUCUGCCAUAGAAGAGCAGAUGCGGCUUUGUUUAGGCCUUAGUGCCAAAUGUAUAGUGGCGGCGCCCACACACUGAGAACUGUUUUCCAGAUGUAAGUUCAUUGAGUUGAAAUUCACACUGUAAGCGGCCUAGCCGAAAGACUUAUAAGCACACUGUAUGCAUUUGGAAAGCCAUAUCUGGGACUCGUGCUCGGGUAAUGUCGGGAGCGGGUAGACAACCGAUACAUUAGCUCAUGACCUGCGUUAGGGAUAGACAUGCAUUGUGUUGUUUGCACAUUUGCAUUUUAUUGUGCUUGCUUGUCUUAUUUCUUUGUGAUUGUGCUAUUUGUCUUGUUGUGACCUGCUUGUACAUUGAAUUGAAUUUCUUGCUUGUACUAUUUGUUUGUGAAUGUAUUAAAGUGAUUACGAAUUGAUGUUUUGACAGAGAAUUAAUUAUGUGGCUGAGAGAUGGGUAAUGUGACUAGUUUUAUAUUUAAAAUUUGUUUUGAGUUUAGAGAUUUUAAAAAAAGAGGUAAUUAGUUAGCUAAAGUAGAACCAAGAGUAUUUUCAAAGGGUUUGAUAAAAAUAUAGUUUUAUUGAAUAAAGUUAAUUAUUUGUAUUUUAUUUCAUUAUUUUUACG